AGGGAUUGCCCUAGUAACGGCGAGUGAAGCGGCAACAGCUCAAAUUUGAAAUCUGGCGCAAGCCCGAGUUGUAAUUUGUAGAGGAUGCUUCUAGGUAGCGACCGGUCUAAGUUCCUUGGAACAGGACGUCAUAGAGGGUGAGAAUCCCGUAUGUGACCGGCCCGCACCUUCUACGUAGCUCCUUCGACGAGUCGAGUUGUUUGGGAAUGCAGCUCUAAAUGGGAGGUAAAUUUCUUCUAAAGCUAAAUACCGGCCAGAGACCGAUAGCGCACAAGUAGAGUGAUCGAAAGAUGAAAAGCACUUUGGAAAGAGAGUUAAAAAGCACGUGAAAUUGUUGAAAGGGAAGCGCUUACAACCAGACUUCUGGGCGGUGUUCCGCCGGUCUUUUGACCGGUCUACUCGCCGUCCCGAGGCCAACAUCAUCUGGGACCGCUGGAUAAGACCUCAGGAAUGUAGCUUCCCUCGGGAAGUGUUAUAGCCUGUGGUGAUGCAGCGCGUCUCGGGUGAGGUCCGCGCUUCGGCAAGGAUGUUGGCGUAAUGGUUGUCAGCGGCCCGUCUUGAAACACGGACCAAGGAGUCUAACAUCUAUGCGAGUGUUCGGGUGUCAAACCCCUACGCGUAAUGAAAGUGAACGGAGGUGGGAAGCGUAAGCUGCACCAUCGACCGAUCCUGAUGUCCUCGGAUGGAUUUGAGUAAGAGCAUAGCUGUUGGGACCCGAAAGAUGGUGAACUAUGCCUGAAUAGGGUGAAGCCAGAGGAAACUCUGGUGGAGGCUCGCAGCGGUUCUGACGUGCAAAUCGAUCGUCAAAUUUGGGUAUAGGGGCGAAAGACUAAUCGAACCAU
rnacentral:rRNA from 1 species